rnacentral:rRNA from 1 species
UACGUAGGGUGCGAGCGUUGUCCGGAAUUACUGGGCGUAAAGAGCUCGUAGGUGGUUUGUCGCGUUGUUCGUGAAAACUCACAGCUUAACUGUGGGCGUGCGGGCGAUACGGGCAGACUGGAGUACUGCAGGGGAGACUGGAAUUCCUGGUGUAGCGGUGAAAUGCGCAGAUAUCAGGAGGAACACCGGUGGCGAAGGCGGGUCUCUGGGCCGAUACUGACGCUGAGGAGCGAAAGCGUGGGGAGCGAACAGG